UACGUAGGGAGCAAGCGUUGUCCGGAAUCAUUGGGCGUAAAGAGCGUGUAGGCGGCCCGGUAAGCCGGUUGUGAAAGUCAAGGGCUCAACCCUUGAAUGCCGACCGAUACUGUCGGGCUAGAGUCCGGAAGAGGCGAGUGGAAUUCCUGGUGUAGCGGUGAAAUGCGCAGAUAUCAGGAGGAACACCGGUGGCGAAGGCGGGUCUCUGGGCCGAUACUGACGCUGAGGAGCGAAAGCGUGGGGAGCGAACAGG
rnacentral:rRNA from 1 species